rnacentral:rRNA from 1 species
UACGGAGGGUGCAAGCGUUAUCCGGAUUCACUGGGUUUAAAGGGUGCGUAGGUGGGCAAGUAAGUCAGUGGUGAAAUCUCCGGGCUUAACCCGGAAACUGCCAUUGAUACUAUUUGUCUUGAAUACUGUGGAGGUCAGCGGAAUAUGUCAUGUAGCGGUGAAAUGCUUAGAUAUGACAUAGAACACCAAUUGCGAAGGCAGCUGGCUACACGAAUAUUGACACUGAUGCACGAAAGCGUGGGGAUCAAACAGGA